rnacentral:lncRNA from 1 species
CCGUUGGGGCGGCGAGAGAGGACUAAUGCGUGGGCUGCUUUGGGCGGCCAGAUGGGACGGAGAAGGGGUUGCUUUGGGCGACUAGAGGGGACUUACGGAGAUAGCUGCAGAGGAGGACGAAAGAGGGAGGCUGGAAUUUGAGAGUGGCGUCUGAAAACAGAGCGAGAAAACUAAGUGGAAAAAUACGUGGGAGAAAAACAAAGAUUGAGAGAAAAAAAGAAAGAGAGUCGGGUGGAGAUCUUCGAUUCUGGACUGAGGGACUUUUAGUUGGGAGAAAAACAAAG